AUAAACAAUCUAAUGCUUUUUUUGAAAGUUAGAGGCUUUCUUAAAUAUUUCAAU
rnacentral:tRNA from 1 species